UUAAAAAUUACGCAUAAACCUAUUUUCAGAACGUCGUGGAACGCUGUUUCUCCCACUUCGUCACCGAUCCUUUCUCUGCAAUCGCCAUUACAGCUGCUUUUACUUCAUCGAUCAAUGAUGUUCUUUACUCAGUCCUUUAUUGUUUCGAUCCACCUCUUGAUGAUUCUUCAUCCUCCAAAUCCAGACGUUUCAUGUUUCUAUCAACCACUUGCUAUAAAUUUAGGGACAUUUUUCCGUCAUGGCUAACCUCGAUUUUGUCGUCCUACUUGACAUUUGACAAUCUGCAUAUUUGUCGUUUUCUCAAGAGGAGACUCAUCAUGUACUGGGAUUAUUAGGUUUUUUAAAUAUCCCUUGCCUGUUCAAUUGCUAUUAAUCUCGAUACCAAGAGCUUCUUGGGGAUAAACAGGUUCUGAUUGCAUCGCCUCCAAGGAAAAAACUCAGAAACUCAUAUUCAGGAGCUUGAGGAGGAACUUAAGUUUCUCAAGAAUCACUCUCAACCAAAUAUAUUUGUAAGUAAUAAAAGCUUUUUGUAUUCACUGUUUGGUACGCCCACAUGUCUUUGUUUCUUUUAUAAAUCUUUCAUUCAAAGCUUUGUGAUUCAUUUAUUCGUAGAAAGCUGUGUGUUUUGUGGACUUAUGGUACAGCAGAGAGAGAGAGAGAGAGAGAGAGAGAGAGAGAGAGAGAGAGAGAGAG